AAGUAGGGGAUCGUAAGACCUUGCGCUUUUGGAGCGGCCGAUGUCUGAUUAGCUAGUUGGUGGGGUAAUGGCCUACCAAGGCUACGAUCAGUAGCUGGUCUGAGAGGACGGCCAGCCACACUGGGACUGAGACACGGCCCAGACUCCUACGGGAGGCAGCAGUGGGGAAUUUUGGACAAUGGGCGGAAGCCUGAUCCAGCAAUGCCGCGUGAGUGAAGAAGGCCUUCGGGUUGUAAAGCUCUUUCAGUCGAGAAGAAAAGGUUGCGACUAAUAAUCGCAACUUAUGACGGUAUCGACAGAAGAAGCACCGGCUAACUACGUGCCAGCAGCCGCGGUAAUACGUAGGGUGCGAGCGUUAAUCGGAAUUACUGGGCGUAAAGGGUGCGCAGGCGGCUCUGUAAGUCAGAUGUGAAAUCCCCGGGCUUAACCUGGGAAUUGCGUUUGAAACUACAUAGCUAGAGU
rnacentral:rRNA from 1 species